rnacentral:rRNA from 1 species
CAGUCGCCGCGGUAAUACGAAGGGUGCAAGCGUUACUCGGAAUUACUGGGCGUAAAGCGUGCGUAGGUGGUGGUUUAAGUCCGUUGUGAAAGCCCUGGGCUCAACCUGGGAAUUGCAGUGGAUACUGGGUCACUAGAGUGUGGUAGAGGAUAGUGGAAUUUCCGGUGUAGCCGUGAAAUGCGUAGAGAUCGGAAGGAACAUCUGUGGCGAAGGCGACUAUCUGGGCCAACACUGACACUGAGGCACGAAAGCGUGGGGAGCAAACAGGAUUAGAUACCCCUGUAGUCCCUGUCUCUUAUAC